rnacentral:rRNA from 1 species
AAUUUUGGACAAUGGGCGCAAGCCUGAUCCAGCCAUGCCGCGUGAGUGAAGAAGGCCUNCGGGUUNUNAAGCUCUUUCGGACGGANAGAAAUCGCGCAGGCUAAUACCCUGCGCGGCUGACGGUACCGUCAUAAGAAGCACCGCCUAACUCCGUCCCAGCAGCCGCGGUAAUACGUAGGGUGCGAGCGUUAAUCGGAAUUACUGGGCGUAAAGCGUGCGCAGGCGGUUGAUUAAGACAGGCGUGAAAUCCCCGGGCUUAACCUGGGAACUGCGCUUGUGACUGGUCAGCUAGAGUACGGCAGAGGGGGGUGGAAUUCCACGUGUAGCAGUGAAAUGCGUAGAGAUGUGGAGGAACACCGAUGGCGAAGGCGACCACCUGGACUGAUACUGACACUGAGGUGCGAAAGCGUGGGGAGCAAACAGG